rnacentral:rRNA from 1 species
AUUGAACGCUGGCGGCAUGCUUUACACAUGCGAGUCGAACGGCAGCGCGGGCUUCGGCCUGGCGGCGAGUGGCGAACGGGUGAGUAAUACAUCGGAACGUGCCCAGUAGUGGGGGAUAGCUCGGCGAAAGCCGGAUUAAUACCGCAUACGACCUGAGGGUGAAAGCGGGGGAUCUUCGGACCUCGCGCUAUUGGAGCGGCCGAUGUCAGAUUAGCUAGUUGGUGGGGUAAAGGCCUACCAAGGCGACGAUCUGUAGCUGGUCUGAGAGGACGACCAGCCACACUGGGACUGAGACACGGCCCAGACUCCUACGGGAGGCAGCAGUGGGGAAUUUUGGACAAUGGGCGAAAGCCUGAUCCAGCAAUGCCGCGUGUGUGAUGAAGGCCUUCGGGUUGUAAAGCACUUUUGGCGGGAACGAAAAGGACUGUGCCAAUACCACGGUUCGAUGACGGUACCCGCAGAAUAAGCACCGGCUAACUACGUG